UGCUAGCUUGUCCCCCGUCUCUCUCUCUCUCGCACGAGCGCACGCGUGUUCGCACGCUCAUUGCAGCACCGUCUCCAUAUCCAUCAUCUCCCUUUCCCUGUCUCAUUCAGAGAUUCCACCAAUGGAGCACCCUGCCCCGGUACUUUCUCUCCGUCUCCCUCGCUGUCUUUUUCCCCAAUUCGCUGUAGGAUUUUUGUUCUUUGAUUUUGAUUCUCAGUCUGGUACUCUGUUUGUUGAUGGUGAUUGAGAUUAUCUUGGGGCGUAUCUUUGAGAGGAAGAACUCGGAAUAUGAUUUUUGUUUCACCGAUUCUUAAAACGUUGAUUCGAACUUCAGAUUGAAAGGCUUCCUUCAUGUGAUGUGAUGUGGCUUCCAAGCGUGAUCACCUUUAUUGGGCUAAUGCUACUAGUUGGACCAAGCCUUGGUGCAGCGGUUGCAAUUGAUUUUGCUGUCAAUCAUUCAGAAAUUGUGGGUCAUCUACAUUGCCUAUUGCCUUGGUGGGAGGAUGUUACUGUGACUUUUAUGAAUAGUGGAGGUUAUAAUGUGUGCUCCCAGAUAAAACAUGUAAGUUAGAAAUUGUUUUGCUAUUCUAACCAAGAACUAUUGAUUGUCUUGUUCAAAAAAUAUAAUUGUGGUUGGUAGUUGUGUAUAUUUAGGCUAUGUUUAAAUGGAUCGUGUUUGUUGGUGCAGCCUUGAGUUGCAAUUUUUAUAUUAUUCCUUGCAGAGAAAAUAUCUUAGACAUAUAUGUGGAAGGCAUUGAAAUUUGAAAUGAGUAUGUGGGAAGCCCUUGAUUAAGUGUUCCA